UCUCUUUCUUUUAGCUCAAUAAUACCGGUUUCUCAAACAGCAUAAAAUCAUGGACAAUCCUGGCAUUUGGAACACGAAGUGAGUUCUCCCCUCAUAGGCCGGAUACAACAGUCACAGCCUGAUGUGGGUCCCAGUCACACUGAGUGGCACCGGUGUAGAGCCAUGGUAGGCCACUGUAGCUAGUUUGCCUUUGAUUUGGAGUGAGGUGAGAAGCUAUUGGAGGUUUCUGAACAGAAUGGCCAGUCACUGAAAGGAGAAGACUUCAGGAGGAGCAGAAGGGAAAGUAGAGCUAGAAGAGGGAGUAACUU